AGCAUAAUGAAAAGUUCGGUGGUUUCCUCCAAAUUGUAUGUAUUGGCAGAACAAUCUGAGACGUGGAUUUCACACGGCAUGGGGUUAAUUAAGGAAAGGUCCCUCCUUCAGGUUCCUGCUCAGUCAGAAGCUUUCUGCUUUUCUGGUGCUAAAACUUGUGAUGGUGGUCACUUUGUGCACUAUAAAUCUGGAUGAUUCCUGGAAAGAGUACGUGUCUCUCCCACUGCAUGGAUGCAGAGACCUUGAGGAGGGGCCAAGAUGCAGAAUUCCAUAUUGCUUUUAAUGUGCAAAUCUUUGGGGUAUUGCUUGGACACCUAGUAAGUGAUAACCUCUUCCUGCAACUCCCUGAGAAUCUUGAAAUCUUGUAUUGACUUUGCCAAGGAAUGAAAACUUACUUUGUAGACACCUCAGGUUUGCUAUUAUAAGGGAGUCAUUGUUUUAUUAUUUUGACUAGCACAGCACAGAUUACAGACAAAAAUAGAAAUAGUGAAGUACCUGCCAAUGCUCCUUGUUGAAAUGGCUCCCUUUAAUACAAAUAUUUAGUUGGAUAUAAAAACAUAGCUUGACUAGGUAGCAACUCGGCAAAAAAAAAAAAAAAUCUGGAAAAUAAAUGGAAAUCCUUGAGAUCAAUAUCAGUCUGAAGUAGUGUGGAUACCAUCAAUUUUACUGAAUAGUGGGAGUCUUAGAACCUCAAAGAGGAAAAAAGCUUAAUUACAGCGGAAAUAAACCAGUUCAGGAAAAAAAUCAUAAAAGUGCUGUGAGUUAGGUCUGAUCAAAAACACACUGAUGAGAAU